rnacentral:ncRNA from 1 species
UAUCACUAAAAUAUGCAUUAUAUCACUAAAAUAUGCAUUAUAUCACUAAAAUAUAGAUGUUCUGGGCCGCACGCGCGCUACACUGACGGUGUCAACGAGUCUUUCCUUCGCCGGAAGGCGUGGGUAAUCUUGUAAAACAUCGUCGUGCUGGGGAUAGAUCAUUGCAAUUAUUGAUCUUGAACGAGGAAUUCCUAGUAAGCGCGAGUCAUCAGCUCGCGUUGAUUACGUCCCUG